CACCUGCUCAGCUGACCGUUAUUGCUUUGAGGCGAAAAUACGUUAAAUAUGAUCAGGUUUAGUGAAAUUAGUUCUCAAUGGCGGAAUUGUUGGUCAUUAUAUAAGUUACAAACGUUACUAUUUUGCAUUAUGGGGUCAUUCAAACAACGCACAACCCUUGUGUUUUUAACGGGACUUGGCAAAGUUAAGAGUUUAGUGUGGCUCGGCUUGCUCUCCUGCUUGAGAGUACCACUUGCAUCAGGUCCGCACUCCGCACCGCCCUUUUUUGUAACGUAGCUGAGUUUAAUGGCGCGCCGCCGAAGCUUCAAAACACACGGGAGAAUCGCUUCUGUAUGAGCUUAACUUUAUAUGAACAUACGUACGCACCAAAGUGUAACUUAUUACGCAGACCGAAACAGCUAACGAAAAGCAUAAGAAAGACAUGGAAACUAAUCAGAGAGACAACACACUUGCGCGUGUGUGGAGGUUUCUGCUCAGGACUUGGAGACUCUGUCGCCGUGGGUCUGAUAACUCCGGAAUAAAGCUUUCUGUGGAGGAAACAUCACAGAGCUCUGUCCGUCCAUGGUUUGAACAUUUCGGAUAUGACAAUGGAGUUUAGUUCAUGUGCAGUCGUAGAGAGGACAGGAAGCGAAGUGGGAAAGAGAAGGGGCUGGGGCACACUAAACUCUUCUGGCACUGUGGGAGUGAUGUCUUGCCACUUGGACCAUGUCUCCCUCAUUUUCCUGCCAUGAUGAAGCAACUUCCCUAUUUUUCUCCCUGUGGAUGUGCAGAACUUUUAUACUGUGUGUGUAAAACAGACCUGAGGAGGGUUACGCCAAUGAAACGCUGCAUUCUACUGUACGCGUUCCUGCUGACUGCGAUUUCCAAGGUUUCCAGCCACAUGAUCUGAGCCAGUCUUGAGCACUCGCAUACGCUAGGAUAUUUUCAAACUGUUUGAUUUUAUCGCCACAUGAUUUUGUAGUGAGUGCCACACAAUGACAAUGUGGAACUAGUACAGCAAGUCUCAGUACAGAACUGUAUAAACAGAGAAAGGGCAGUCAAGUUCUCGCAUGAAUUUAUGUGAAAACUAUUCUACGUUGUUGCCACGACUACAUCAAAGGUCUUAUUAUUUGUGCACAUCUUAGCAGUGUGUUGUGUACAGGGCUUGACAUUAACACCCGCCAAAUGCAGGUAGAUUUCAGCCACUCCCACUAGCCAUUUUGGCAGGUUGGAUAUAAUUUUUUUAUAAUUGUAGUUUAAAAAAACUACGGAAGUCGCAUACGUCGGCCGCAUACGUCAUCAAGGUUUUUAUUUCAGGUUUUAUUUCAGCAAAUACUGUUACGUUUAACAGUAAGAAUGAAACUACAACGAUUACAUCUUAAAGGUCCAGUGUGUAAUUUUUUGGAGGAUCUAUUGAUAGAAAUGCAGUAGUUAUGUAUAUUAUAUGUCUUCAGAGGUGUAUAAAGAGCGUACACAAUGAAGCGGUAUGUUUUUAUUACCUUAGAAUGAGCUAUUUCUAUCUAUGUACAUCGCGGGUCCCCUUGCAUAUAAUUCGCCAUGUUCUGUCAGCCGUUGUAGUGUUUCAAACGGAAGGGGUGGAGUGAGCGGUUGGUUGCAAUUCGCAACCUUGCCGCUAGAUUUUACUGACUGGACCUUUGAGAAAUAAGUGUUAAUUUUAUGGGUUUUUUUUUUUACCUGAAAUGAGACAACCUCGAUGACGAUAUGCGGUCGAUAAAUGCGACCUUCGAAGGACGCAGCACAUGUUAUUGGGAAGAAAAGUUGACCCUUCACAGACUACGUGUUGAUGUACGACUAAGUAUUGUGGGUUUUAAAUAUAGCUAAAUCAAGCAAAAUGGCUCUAAAUCAAGUAAUUUUAGCAUGCCAAAGUCAACUUUAAUCAUAAAAUGUAUAUUCCAAACCAAAAAAUUGUGGCCAAUGAAAAUGCUGAGUUGCUAGUAACUUUGGAAAACCACUAGCCACUGUGGCUAGUGAGCAAAAAGGUUAACGUCAAGCCCUGAUUGUGAAGUAUGCACACUGCUACCUAGAGGUGGCAGAUGACAAAAAACCUGUCUGCCUUAUUAAGUUAUUGUUUCUGUGAGUUUUUUUUGUUGUUGAUAGUAGCGACUGCUCAUUUAACCAAAGGUCUUGUUGUUUGGGCACAUCGUAGCAAUGUGUUGUGUAGUUUGCGUCCUUGCUACGAAAAUAAUACGUUAGAUGACAAAACCCUGAUUGCGUUAAGUUACUGUAAAUAUUAGCUUGACCUACAUAAUGACAUUUUUUUUAUCUUGUUAAUAUUUUUUAUGCACUGUUGCAGUUUACACAUAAAUGCUUUCUGUCUUCCAGAAUAUACAUUUCUGCCAAAAAUUACAUACAGCUGUCAGAACGCCUAAUAGCAGCAGGGUAAAAAAAGAGUUAGAGAUGGAGUAAGUCACCCUGAUUAAUAUUUAACGGUGUUGUUCCUCAGGAUUGUUGACCCUUAGGGCAUUACUUAACACUUGAAAUUAUGCUCCUGUAGCUGUAACUGGAAAGCAUGGUGCUUGCAACACCAAUGUUGUGGGUUUAAUGCCCAGGAAACACAUACUGUGUAACAUGAAUGUAUUCUAAGUUAUCAUGUUAUGGAAGAACAAGCGGUAGUUAAAUCUGUCUGCUAAUAUACUUGCCCAGUUAGAUUUUAGGGGAAACCUAAUGACAAAAAAACCCCUAAGACAGACAUUGCUGUGGAGAUGUCGCAAUAUGUCUCUUAUCUAAGCAUUUAUCCAUGUCCAAUUUCAUAUUUUUCUGUCAUAGGGUUAGUGUCACAUUGCAACAUGACGAUCACUUUAAGUGCCAUUACAAGUUUUGUCAUGUUAAUCGCUGGCUUACAUUGGUUUACAGUGUACAAAUAGUUGGAGGUACAUUUUUUUUAAUUCAAGUCUAAUUAGGAAUGUAUUAUAAUAGCUUUUUAGGGCUAUGUAUGAAAGUUGAAUUGGCUGAAUGUUAUUGCUGUACUAUGGUUGCACUUAAGUUUAAUAUAAAUGUGCCCUUUGAUAUGAUUAAUGGACUGUUUAAAAUGUUGUUUGAUGUAUAUUAUCAGAAUAAUUUAUUAAAUAUUAGAUUUUAUCUA